GACGAACGCUGGCGGCGUGCUUAACACAUGCAAGUCGAACGGUGAAGCGCCUUCCUUUUUGGUGGGUGUGGAUGAGUGGCGAACGGGUGAGUAACACGUGAGUAACCUGCCCCCUUCUUCUGGAUAACCGCAUGAAAGUGUGGCUAAUACGGGAUAUUCUGGGUCUGUCGCAUGAUGGGUCUGGGAAAGAUAUUGUUUCAGUGGGGGAUGGGCUCGCGGCCUAUCAGCUUGUUGGUGGGGUGAUGGCCUACCAAGGCGGUGACGGGUAGCCGGCCUGAGAGGGCGGACGGUCACACUGGGACUGAGACACGGCCCAGACUCCUACGGGAGGCAGCAGUGGGGAAUAUUGCACAAUGGGCGCAAGCCUGAUGCAGCGACGCCGCGUGAGGGAUGGAGGCCUUCGGGUUGUGAACCUCUUUCGCCAGUGAAGCAGGCCUGCCUCGUUUGUGGGUGGGUUGACGGUAGCUGGAUAAGAAGCGCCGGCUAACUACG
rnacentral:rRNA from 1 species